AGCAGCCGCGGUAAUUCCAGCUCCAAUAGCGUAUAUUAAAGUUGUUGCAGUUAAAAAGCUCGUAGUUGAAUUUCGGGGUUAGCAGGUCGGUCGUGCCAAUGGUAUGCACUGGCCUUGCUGAUUCCUCCCUCUUGAUGAACCGUAAUGCCAUUAAUUUGGUGUUGCGGGGAAUCAGGACUGUUACUUUGAAAAAAUUAGAGUGUUUAAAGCAGGCAAGCGCUUGAAUACAUUAGCAUGGAAUAAUGAAAUAGGACGUUUGAUCCUAUUUUGUUGGUUUCUAGGAUUGACGUAAUGAUUAAUAGGGAUAGUUGGGGGCAUUAGUAUUCAAUUGUCAGAGGUGAAAUUCUUGGAUUUAUUGAAGACUAACUACUGCGAAAGCAUUUGCCAAGGAUGUUUUCAUUAAUCAAGAACGAAAGUUAGGGGAUCGAAGACGAUCAGAUACCGUCGUAGUCUUAACCAUAAACUAUGCCGACUAGGGAUCGGAUGAUGUUAAUUUUUUAAUGACUCAUUCGGCGCCG
rnacentral:rRNA from 1 species